CGAUCACGUUCAGAGUUUGAUCCUGGCUCAGGAUGAACGCUAGCGACAGGCUUAACACAUGCAAGUCGAGGGGCAGCACAGGUAGCAAUACCGGGUGGCGACCGGCGCACGGGUGAGUAACGCGUAUGCAGCUUACCUAUCAGAGGGGGAUAACCCGGCGAAAGUCGGACUAAUACCGCAUGAAGCAGGGGCCCCGCAUGGGGAUAUUUGCUAAAGAUUCAUCGCUGAUAGAUAGGCAUGCGUUCCAUUAGGCAGUUGGCGGGGUAACGGCCCACCAAACCGACGAUGGAUAGGGGUUCUGAGAGGAAGGUCCCCCACAUUGGUACUGAGACACGGACCAA
rnacentral:rRNA from 1 species